rnacentral:rRNA from 1 species
AGCGAACGCUGGCGGCAUGCUUAACACAUGCAAGUCGCACGGAUCUUUCGGGAUCAGUGGCGGACGGGUGAGUAACGCGUAGGGAUCUAUCCAUGGGUGGGGGACAACUCCGGGAAACUGGAGCUAAUACCGCAUGAUACCUGAGGGUCAAAGGCGCAAGUCGCCUGUGGAGGAACCUGCGUUCGAUUAGCUAGUUGGUGGGGUAAAGGCCUACCAAGGCGAUGAUCGAUAGCUGGUUUGAGAGGAUGAUCAGCCACACUGGGACUGAGACACGGCCCAG